UACAGGGAGGGCAAGCGUUGUUCGGAAUUACUGGGCGUAAAGGGCGCGUAGGCGGCCUUCUAAGUCGAACGUGAAAUCCCCGGGCUCGAACCCGGGAACUGCGUCCGAUACUGGAAGGCUUGAAUCCGGGAGAGGGAUGCGGAAUUCCAGGUGUAGCGGUGAAAUGCGUAGAGAUCAGGAAGAACAUCGGUGGCGAAGGCGCUCUGCUGGACCAUAACUGACACUCAGGGACGAAAGCUAGGGGAGCGAAUGGG
rnacentral:rRNA from 1 species